rnacentral:rRNA from 1 species
CUACGGGGUGCAGCAGUCGAGAAUCUUCCACAAUGGACGAAAGUCUGAUGGAGCGACGCCGCGUGACCGACGAAGCAUUUCGGUGUGUAAAGGUCUUUUAUGAGGGAUGACAUAGCGACAGUACCUCAUGAAUAAGGGGCUGCAAAUCACGUGCCAGCAGCAGCGGUAAUACGUGAGCCCCAAGCGUUAUCCGGAAUUACUGGGUGUAAAGUGUGCGUAGGCGGUUCUGUUAGUCUCCUGCUAAAUCCAUCGGCUCAACCGGUGAACUCCAGGGGAAACGGCAGAACUCGAGAGUGCGAGAGGUCUGUGGAACUCAUCAUGUAGGGGUGAAAUCCGUUGAUAUGAUGGGGAACACCAAAAGCGAAGGCAACAGACUGGCGCAUUUCUGACGCUGAGGCACGAAAGCGUGGGUAGCGAAUGGGAUUAGAUACCCGGGUAGUC